rnacentral:rRNA from 1 species
GACGAACGCUGGCGGCGUGCCUAACACAUGCAAGUCGAGCGAAUGAAGUUCCUUCGGGAACGGAUUUAGCGGCGGACGGGUGAGUAACACGUGGGCAACCUGCCUCAUAGAGGGGAAUAGCCUUCCGAAAGGGAGAUUAAUACCGCAUAAGAUUGUAGUACCGCAUGGUACAGCAAUUAAAGGAGCAAUCCGCUAUGAGAUGGGGCCCCGCGGCGCAUUAGCUAGUUGGUGAGGUAACGGCUCACCAAGGCGACGAUGCGUAGCCGACCUGAGAGGGUGAUCGGCCACAUUGGGACUGAGACACGGCCCAGACUCCUACGGGAGGCAGUAGUGGGGAAUAUUGCACAAUGGGGGAAACCCUGAUGCAGCAACGCCGCGUGA